AAUUGGCAACAGGAUUGGCAAUGGCAAUGUGAAUAGAAAUAGUAGGAAUAG
rnacentral:sRNA from 1 species